GUGAAAACAAAAGCUAUUUGUAGAGAAAAACAUCCCAUUAAUGUGAUUUCCUAGUGACAGAUUGACAAGUUCAAAGCAGUAAUGCAUGUUGCCAUGGGCACCAGAUUCUGUUUGCUCGGCUGGCUCAUUUUACUUAGCUGCUGAAGAAGGAGAGUCGCAUUCAGCCAGGGAUCACUGAGCAUUCAAAAGUCCAUCUGAGACCUGCUUUCAUUGCACUGCCUCGUGAGGAGCUGUAGGAGAAGAUAUCAUAACUAUUCCCCACUUCUAAUUGUUAGAAGCAACAGCUGUCUAUCAAGAACAAUCUGAGGAUUGUGCACAAAUUGAUUUGGUUCUAUCAAGUGCUGGCUUUCGAUUCCAGUCUGACUUCACUACCACAGGAGCUUCUUGCUCAGGCUUCUGUUCCGGCUCCAUUCUCUCCCUGCCAUUAUAAUGCCAUCCACUGCAGCACCAUCUCUUCAAUCAGAAAACAUUCAUGAUCUCAUUCCACCUGAAGCCAGUGCCUCUGUAAUGUGUAGCAGAAUCCUAUGGAGAAGUUGUAAAAACACAAAAUGUUGGCCCCACCCCAAGAGUUUCUGAUUUUGCAGGUCUGGAGAGGGCCUGUGAUACGUACUUCUAACAAGCUCCCAGGCGAUGCUAAUGUUGCUGGUCUAGAAACACACUUUGAGAGCCACUGUUUUACAAUGUAUUCACCCAGCUUAUGCAAUCAACUACUAUCACAGCAAAGUCCAAAGAAUGCUCCUUAUUUGUUUGUUAUACUGGAGUUUGGCUUGGCUAAAUAUUAUUUGAAACUGAAUGGCUGUUGAUUGUGGCUCAGAAACUGUUUUCUUCAUAGCGCUGCAAUUGGAUUUAUUUAUUAGAAUUUGAGCUGAAUGUUGUCGUACAUUUUGGUUACAUUGGUUUCUCAGGAUAUUUUAUAGGUACAUGUUGUCUCUUUCUAAGUGCACUGUCACUUGAGGUGGGCCUGGGCCUUUUGUUCCUGUUUGUCCUUACUCUUCCACGGAGCUAGCAGUCUCCAGCACAGGGGUGAUCAGUUCUUAAUCACUGAAGACUAAUUAAUCUUUCAGUAUACAUGCUAUUUUAGUGAGUAAUUUUUGCCAGAAAUACUAGUGCUGAUGUAAAAUAAGGGUUAGGAUUAGGGAAGGAUUUGGCCUGAAUAAUUCAAUUUAUAUGUAUAAGUCAGGGUUCUCUAGAGAAAUAGAAUCAAUAGGGUGUGUGUGUGUGUGUGUGUGUGUGUGGUGGUGGUGGCAGUGCAGGGACAGAGACAGAGAGACAGGGAGGGAGAGAGAGAGAGGGACAGAAAGAGAGAGAGAGAUUUAUGAGAAGGAAUUGGCUCACACAAUCACGGAGGCUGAGAAGUCCCUAGGAUCUGCAGUCAGCUAGCUGGAGACCAAGGAGAGCUGAUGGUAUUGUUCCAGUCCAAGUCCAAAACCCUGAGAACCAGGAGAGAUGAUAGUGCAAGUUUCAGUCCAAAAGAUGCCAAAUUCAAGAUCCAAGAAGAACUGAUGUUUCAGUUUGCGUCUAAAGGCAGGAAAAGACCGAUGUCUCAGCUCAAGUAUCAGGCAGAAGGAGUGCCCUCUUAAAAAGAAUCAGCCUUUUUGUUCUAUUCAGGCCUUCAACUCAUUGGAUGAGGGCCACAUGCAUUAGGGAAGGCAAUCUGCUUUCCGCAGUCUGUGCAUUCAUAUGUUAAUCUCAUCCAAAAACACCCUUACAGACACACCCAGAAUUAUGCUUGACCUAAUACCUGGGCACUCCACAUCCCAGUCAAGUUGACACAAAAUUAACCAUCACACUAUAUAUGUAUAAUCAUUAGUUAAAUGGAAAUUGGUUCACUGUCCAAAUUCCUCUACCUUUUGCCUCAAUGAAAAAAAAAAUGGUUGCCUGUUCACUCUGAUGGUAGUUUCUUUUGCUGUGUG
rnacentral:lncRNA from 10 species